rnacentral:rRNA from 1 species
AUUGAACGCUGGCGGCAUGCCUUACACAUGCAAGUCGAACGGCAGCACGGGGGCAACCCUGGUGGCGAGUGGCGGACGGGUGAGUAAAGCAUCGGAACGUAUCCUGGAGUGGGGGAUAACGUAGCGAAAGUUACGCUAAUACCGCAUAUUCUGUGAGCAGGAAAGCAGGGGAUCGCAAGACCUUGCGCUCUGGGAGCGGCCGAUGUCGGAUUAGCUAGUUGGUGGGGUAAAGGCCUACCAAGGCGACGAUCCGUAGCGGGUCUGAGAGGAUGAUCCGCCACACUGGGACUGAGACACGGCCCAGACUCCUACGGGAGGCAGCAGUGGGGAAUAUUGCGCAAUGGGCGAAAGCCUGACGCAGCCACGCCGCGUGAGUGAUGAAGGCCUUCGGGUUGUAAAGCUCUGUCGGGAGGGAAGAAGGCGGCAAGGCCUGACGGUACCUCGCAAGAAAGCACCGGCUAACUCUGUGCCAGCAGCCGCGGUAAU